rnacentral:rRNA from 1 species
UACAGAGGUCCCAAGCGUUGUUCGGAUUCACUGGGCGUAAAGGGCGCGUAGGCGGGAUGGCAAGUCGGUCGUGAAAUCCCUCGGCUCAACCGAGGAACGUCGAUCGAUACUGCUGUUCUUGAGGAUUGCAGAGGAGACUGGAAUUCCCGGUGUAGCGGUGAAAUGUGUAGAGAUCGGGAGGAACACCGGUGGCGAAGGCGGGUCUCUGGGCAAUUCCUGACGCUGAGGCGCGAAAGCGUGGGGAGCAAACGGG